rnacentral:tRNA from 1 species
AGUUUGUGGCUCAGUGGUGGAGCACUUGCCUAGCAUGUGUGAGGCCCUGGGUUCGAUUUUCAGCACUG